rnacentral:rRNA from 1 species
UAAACGCUAGCGGCAGGCCUAACACAUGCAAGUCGAGGGGUAACGAUGUCUUCGGACAGGCGACGACCGGCGCACGGGUGAGUAUCGCGUUUGUAACCUACCUUUAACUGGAGAAUAGCCCGAAGAAAUUCGGAUUAAUACUCCAUAAUACUAUGAACUGGCAUCUUUUUAUAGUUAAAGCUCCGGCGGUUAAAGAUGGGCAUGCGUAACAUUAGAUAGUUGGUGAGGUAACGGCUCACCAAGUCUACGAUGUUUAGGGGGUCUGAGAGGAUGGUCCCCCACACUGGUACUGAGACACGGACCAGACUCCUACGGGAGGCAGCAGUGAGGAAUAUUGGUCAAUGGGCGCAAGCCUGAACCAGCCAUGCCGCGUGAAGGAUGACAGCGCUACGCGUUGUAAACUUCUUUUGUACAGGAAGAAACUCUCCUACGUGUAGGAGCUUGACGGUACUGUACGAAUAAGCACCGGCUAACUCC